CUAGAGUCAUAGUGAUUCUGAUAUUGUUGUCUUCAUAUUCGUACUUUUACUUUGGAUUCGGAGACAUUUAGCUUUAUAUGAUUCUACCCCAAUCUGUCAUUCUCCAAACAUAACCGAUGGCAAAACUAUAAUCACACAGUUUUUCCCUCCAGCUUCUUAGUUUCCAGUCAUUAACAAAAAAGAAAGAAAGAAAGAAAAAUGUUAAAGGUACUGAGAAAAGUUCAGUGCUUACAGCUGGUUUCAGCAAUUUCAACUUGCGCAAGACCCCAUGUUUGUGAAAACAACCCAAGAAUCUUUGAACAGGAUGUAAUCAACCUCCGAUCUGCUGAGAAACGCUGCAAAAAUGACUUCAGUUGCCAAAAAUAAUAACGUCGUUUACAAGCAGCUCUUCCUAUGUCUAAGGAAGAACCAGCCACGCGUGCGAGUUUAUGCUGGCUUCAGACAAGCAAGCAAGGAAAAGGGCAAAUCCUUCCUCCCUCCCUUAAAAUACACAGUAUCGGAACCCGCGGGAAGCCGGAGCCCAUUUCAAAGGUAUUGGCAAUAUUGGCGGAGGUUCAUAUCCACAAAAAUCCAAACAAUUAUGUGAUUUGGUGCCUGGAAGUCAUUACUGGAAAUUUGGCUCUAAGUGAGCUGGCAGUAUCCAGGAAAAUGAUCUUGGGUAAAUCCAUCUCAUUUUUGCUCUCUUUUCAGGGUUCGAUUUUCCUAUUCUGUACCAUUUGCAAACGAUAGGCCUUCUUGCUUCUACUUCUUUCCUAACUUAUAUCCCAUGACCUGCAAGAAACAAUUUGUUAUUAUUAUUAUUUGCAAGGAGACUGUUCAAGCCUCUACUUCUGAUCCCCUGAACAAAAGAACAGAAAGCCUCAACUGGUCUCCAGUUCCUUCUGGGCACCAAGGCCUCUAGCCCCUCAUGGGUGCCCGGGAAUACUCUUUGCCUUUAUAUGACACACAAGGACCUCCCUCCAGGGUCGGGGUAGGCUUUUAUAAUUAUUAGACAGUUAGCUCUGAAUCUCACUUUAAAAAUAAAGCAAAACCAAACCAAACUGCA
rnacentral:lncRNA from 1 species